rnacentral:rRNA from 1 species
UACGAAGGGUGCAAGCGUUACUCGGAAUUACUGGGCGUAAAGCGUGCGCAGGCGGUUCUAUAAGACAGAUGUGAAAUCCCCGGGCUCAACCUGGGAACUGCAUUUGUGACUGUAGAGCUGGAGUACGGGCAGAGGGGGAUGGAAUUCCGCGUGUAGCAGUGAAAUGCGUAGAUAUGCGGAGGAACACCGAUGGCGAAGGCAAUCCCCUGGGCCUGUACUGACGCUCAUGCACGAAAGCGUGGGGAGCGAACAGG